ensembl:lncRNA
GGGGAGCAGAGAUAGGCACAGCUGCUCCCGGUAGUGGGGCUCACAAGGCUCAUUGCCACCUUACAUUAAGGUGGGUGCAGCGUCUCCGCACACGGCACCCCCAGCCCAAGCAAGAGCAUCGGCCAAGCUGGUUCACACCAGGAACUGGGGUUUGAAGAGCCGGAAGCAAGGCCUCUGCAGGAAACACCCAGCAAGCAAGAGAAGCCAGACUACGCACAAGGGAAAGGAGGGCAUCUGAACAUGUUCGUUACAGCUCUCUGCUCUAUCAUGGGAGGCAGUCUGAAACAGAAGGCUGGAGCAGUUAACCCCACAAGGACAGCAAUGAUGUUCUGUAGGGGAAGCCUGAGAGGCUAUGGUGUGGAGGCCGACCAAGCGUGGGAAUCUAAAAUCGGCAGGAAAGGGUGGGGGUCUCUCUGCAGGGCCCACCACUUACCAGUCGGCCUUCCAAGCAGUCGACGGCGGCCCCCCGGGCCAGCAGGUACCGCACGCAGUCCGGGUGUCCCAUGGAGGCAGCCUCGUGCAGAGAGAGCCCGCUUGUAGUCCUGGUGGACGGCUUCGAUGUCCAGGUCCCAGAUAGGCCAAGAUGUCCCAGCGGCUGUGGCGCGUAAAGUGUGCAGGAGGGUAUCUCCGGCAGACCCCGCGCAGCCCGCGCGCCCAGCCGCGUGCAGCUCCUCUCAUCCAGCACCAACCAGCACAGCCGCCGCGGAACCCGGAGCGCGGUCAUGGCCACGGGCUCGAGUCCUGCGGGAACGCUUGGCGACCCUCCCCCGGACCCGCCCCGCGAUCCUCCUCCACCCUGCCUGUCAGGACCCUUCCCCAGACGCCCCGACCUUCCCCCACACCCUCAGGUUCCGAGCUGACCACGCGACCCGCGGGCCGCAGCGAACGCACGCGCGGAGACUACCGCCCGCACUGGUUUCACUUUGAGGAGAAACAUUAGGUG